rnacentral:miRNA from 1 species
GAGAUGGGAGGAUUGCUUGAGCCUAGGAGGUUGAGGCUGCAGUGAGCUAUGAUCGUGCCACUGCACUCCAGCCUGAGUGACAGAGCGAGAUCCUGUC